rnacentral:lncRNA from 1 species
UUGGCAAUCACAGGAUCAAGAUUGUUAGCCGUGGGCUUCACCCGGAUGGUUGAUCGAGUUAGUGGUUUGAAAUGGGCGUGGGGUCAAGGUUUUGAGCUCAUAUCUAGUGUGGCUUCGCCAAGUUACUUUCGAUGGUUAUCAUGGGAACGGUUGAUCUAGUCGGUGGAUCAUCUCUACAACAGGCUAGAUAAAUCAAGUGAUCAAAAUUAAAAAAAUAUAUAUAAAGAAAAACGAGCUAUAUGUUACCCUAUUUAUUUUUCUAAUUAGAAAAGAAAUGUAUACAUGAUUCAUGAAUUUUCAUUUUAGCUAAAAUUUAACUAAAGAAAAAGAGUCAAUUCCAAAAAUCUUUAAACUAUUUUUAUUUUUAAAUCAAAAAAUAAAAUUAAAUAAAAUAUUAUAAUUAUUAUUUAAAUAUAAUAUAGA